CAAAGGUAGCGUAAUCACUUGUCUAUUAAUUGUAGACCCGUAUGAAAGGCAAAAUGAGAGUCUGCCUGUCUCUUAUAAUAAAUCAAUUAAACUGAUCUCCUAGUAAAAAAGCUAGAAUACCAACAUAAGACCAGAAGACCCUGUGAAGCUUAAACUAAACUAUUAAACCCUAUAAUACCUACUUUCGGUUGGGGCGACCUUGGAAAAAAAAAGAACUUCCAAACACAUGACCAUAACUCAUUCACCAGGCCAACAAGCCUAACACGACCCAGUACAACUGACAACUGAAACAAGUUACUCCAGGGAUAACAGCGCUAUCUUCUUCAAGAGUCCAUAUCAAAAAGAAGGUUUACGACCUCGAUGUUGGAUCAGGACAUCCUAAUGGUGCAGCCGCUAUUAAGGGUUCGUUUGUUCAACGAUUAACAGU
rnacentral:rRNA from 1 species